CCUACGGGGUGCACCAGUGGGGAAUAUGCACAAUGGGCGCAAGCCUGAUGCAGCCAUGCCGCGUGUAUGAAGAAGGCCUUCGGGUUGUAAAGUACUUUCAGCGGGGAGGAAGGCGAUAAGGUUAAUAACCUUGUCGAUUGACGUUACCCGCAGAAGAAGCACCGACUAACUCCGUGCCAGCAGCCGCGGUAAUACGGAGGGUGCAAGCGUUAAUCGGAAUUACUGGGCGUAAAGCGCACGCAGGCGGGCUGUCAAGUCGGAUGUGAAAUCCCCGGGCUCAACCUGGGAACUGCAUUCGAAACUGGCAGGCUAGAGUCUUGUAGAGGGGGGUAGAAUUCCAGGUGUAGCGGUGAAAUGCGUAGAGAUCUGGAGGAAUACCGGUGGCGAAGGCGGCCCCCUGGACAACGACUGACGCUCAGGUGCGAAAGCGUGGGGAGCAAACAGGAUUAGAUACCCUCGUAGUC
rnacentral:rRNA from 1 species